UACAGAGGUCUCAAGCGUUGUUCGGAUUCAUUGGGCGUAAAGGGUGUGUAGGUGGCGCGCUAAGUCGGGUGUGAAAUUUCGGAGCUUAACUCCGAAACUGCAUUCGAUACUGGCGUGCUUGAGGACUGGAGAGGAGACUGGAAUUCAUGGUGUAGCAGUGAAAUGCGUAGAUAUCGUAAGGAAGACCAGUGGCGAAGGCGGUUCUCUGGGACGGUACUGACGCUGAGACGCGAAAGCGUGGGGAGCGAACAGG
rnacentral:rRNA from 1 species